rnacentral:tRNA from 1 species
GUCAUGGUGGUGAAAUGGUAGGCGGUAGACACAGGAGACUCAAAAUCUUAUGCUAAAGAGCAUGGAGGUUCAAGUCCUCUUCAAGGUU